rnacentral:misc_RNA from 1 species
UGUGGGAGCGGGCUUGCUCGCGAUAGCGGUGGGCCAGUCGAUUAAGAUGUCGACUGAUACCCCGCUAUCGCGAGCAAGCCCGCUCCCACA